rnacentral:rRNA from 1 species
GCUAAACGCGAAGAACCUUACCAGGUCUUGACAUCCUCUGACCAUCCUAGAGAUGGAGCUUUCCCUUCGGGGACCGGUGCACAGGUGCUGCAUGGCUGUCGUCAGCUCGUGUCGUGAGAUGUUGGGUUAAGUCCGGCAACGAGCGCAACCCUCGUCCUAUGUUGCCAGCGGUUCGGCCGGGAACUCAUGGGAUACUGCCGUGGUCAACACGGAGGAAGGUGGGGAUGACGUCAAAUCAUCAUGCCCCUUAUGUCUUGGGCUUCACGCAUGCUACAAUGGCCGGUACAAAGGGCGGCGAUACCGUAAGGUGGAGCGAAUCCCAAAAAGCCGGCCUCAGUUCGGAUUGGGGUCUGCAACUCGACCCCAUGAAGUCGGAGUCGCUAGUAAUCGCAGAUCAGCAACGCUGCGGUGAAUACGUUCCCGGGUCUUGUACACACCG